rnacentral:rRNA from 1 species
UACGGGGCGCAGCAGGCGCGAAAACUUUACAAUGCGGGAAACCGUGAUAAGGGAAUCUCGAGUGCCAGCAUAUAAUGUUGGCUGUCCAGAUGCCUAAAAAGCAUCUGUUAGCAAGGGCCGGGCAAGACCGGUGCCAGCCGCCGCGGUAACACCGGCGGCCCGAGUGGUAACCGUUAUUAUUGGGUCUAAAGGGUCUGUAGCCGGCCAUGUAAGUCCCUUGGGAAAUCUGGCAGCUCAACUGUCAGGCUGCUAGGGGAUACUGCUUGGCUUGGGACCGGGAGAGGUGAGAGGUACCUUGAGGGUAGGGGUGAAAUCUUGUGAUCCUCGGGGGACCACCAGUGGCGAAGGCGUCUCACCAGAACGGAUCCGACGGUAAGGGACGAAAGCUAGGGGCACGAACCGGAUUAGAUACCCGGGUAGUCCUAGCCGUAAACGAUGCUCGCUAGGUGUCAGUCACGGUGCGACCGUGAUUGGUGCCGUAGGGAAGCCGUGAAGCGAGCCACCUGGGAAGUACGGCCGCAAGGCUGAAACUUAAAGGAAUUGGCGGGGGAGCACUACAACGGGUGGAGCCUGCGGUUUAAUUGGAUUCAACGCCGGG